GUCAGGAUGGCCGAGUGGUCUAAGGCGCCAGACUCAAGUUCUGGUCUUCGAAGGAGGGCGUGGGUUCAAAUCCCACUUCUGACA
rnacentral:tRNA from 1 species